rnacentral:rRNA from 1 species
UAGAGGUGCUGCAUGGCUGUCGUCAGCUCGUGUCGUGAGAUGUUGGGUUAAGUCCCGCAACGAGCGCAACCCUUACCCUUAGUUGCCAGCGGGUAAUGCCGGGCACUCUAAGGGGACCGCCCCGGAUAACGGGGAGGAAGGCGGGAUGACGUCAAGUCAGCAUGGCCUUUAUGUCCAGGGCUACACACGUGCUACAAUGGGCGAUACAGAGGGAAGCAAGGCCGCAAGGUAGAGCUAAUCCCUAAAGUCGUCCUCAGUUCGGAUUGCAGGCUGCAACUCGCCUGCAUGAAGUCGGAAUCGCUAGUAAUCGCGGAUCAGCUACGCCGCGGUGAAUACGUUCUCGGGCCUU